rnacentral:lncRNA from 1 species
AGUGCUUGUUCCUGUCUUGUGACUGCUGGUCUCCUUAAGGCCAGGCUGGGCUAAUGCAGUAGAGCUAGACUAAAGCACAGCUGAACCCUCAAGCAGGAACUGAGAGCAAAUUGUAUUGAAACUGCUUCAGCUGUCGGAGAUCGUUUAUAUGUCUUCCUUUUUUCUGCAUUGGUUGGGAAUAAAAUUGAAUCUAUUCCAGUAAAAGGACCAGCCCUAUCAAGAAAGAGGAAGAAGGAAGUGGAUGCUACUUCACCUGCACCCUCCACAAGCAGCACUGUCAAAACUGAAGGAGCAGAGGCAACUCCUGGAGCUCAGGAGCCGGCAUGUCCACAGCCAUGGGCCGUUCCCCAUCUCCCAAGACCUCAUUGUCAGCUCCACCCAACAGUUCUUCAACUGAGAACCCGAAAACAGUGGCCAAAUGUCAGGUAACUCCCAGAAGAAAUGUUCUCCAAAAACGCCCAGUGAUAGUGAAGGUACUGAGUACAACAAAGCCAUUUGAAUAUGAGACCCCAGAAAUGGAGAAAAAAAUAAUGUUUCAUGCUACAG